UGAGGAAUAUUGGGCAAUGCCCGCAAGGGUGACCCAGCAACGCCGCGUGGAGGAUGAAUGUCGUAAGAUUGUAAACUCCUGUUAGAGGGGAAGAAUAGUACCGGUUGGACCGGUAUAUGACUGUACCCUCAGAGAAAGCCCCGGCUAACUACGUGCCAGCAGCCGCGGUAAUACGUAGGGGGCAAGCGUUGUCCGGAUUUACUGGGUGUAAAGGGCGCGCAGGCGGGAUAAAAAGUCAGUGGUGAAAUCCUACGGCUUAACUGUAGAACUGCCUUUGAUACUUUUAUUCUUGAGUUCGGGAGAGAGAGACGGAAUUCCAGGUGUAGUGGUGAAAUACGUAGAUAUCUGGAAGAACACCAGUUGCGAAGGCGGUCUCUUGGUCCGACACUGACGCUGAGGCGCGAAAGCGUGGGGAGCAAACA
rnacentral:rRNA from 1 species